GUACCGUGCCGCCCCUCAGCGCUCCGCCCGGCCCCGCCGCCCCCCGGCUGCUCGCGUGGUCGGAAGUGGCGCCGUUUGUGGAGCUUUUCGCCGCCCUAAGGAGGGGAUUUGCAGCGCUGGUCGUCGCUCGGAGCUCGUUUGGAUGCUCGUGACUCAGAAAGCUUCUCUGCAGCUGUUCCCUUGAAAUAACGCCCUUAGAAGCUGUGAACGCAGAAAGGAAAACUUGAGGCGGUGGUUUCCAGCGUCAGCCAGUUGGGCACCCCCAUCCAGCCGGAGAGCGGCGAUGUGCUGCCAUGCGAGGGGCAGGAGCAAGUCCUGCCUUGGGGACAGCGAUACCAUUCCGUAAAGCAGCGGGGAUCCCAUAGGGAAGGAGAUCUUGUAAUCCGGGCCAUAUUACUUAUAUUAGUACACCUGGGACUAGUCAUUAUUCUAGUACACAGAGCUGAGAUCUGAAACCCCCAAACCAGACACCGCUUACCAUAUUAGUACUGGCUCAAACAAGAGGAAUGGCAACUUGAAAGUAGUAGGAAGAAAGGUUCUUGUUGUCAAGCUGAGGCAGAAAUAUUCAACACUUCUAUUUUCUUACCUGUGGGUAAUGCUAAACUGUCUGUCUGCUAAAUGGGUGGAAAACACUUAGGGGAAGUGGUAGAAUUGGAAAAAGAGUCUCUUGAAAUUGUCCAUUGAUUUGAUAAGGUAUGCAUGCAGGCAGCAUUCUGGGUGGGAUGCAAAUACUCACACUCCUCCCUACUCCAUUUCCCCCCCUCUCACAUGCAAAGUUGUACGUAUCUGUAUUAUAGUUUUACAUAACUGAUCCCAGUAAAAAGCUGGCCUUUUUCAGUAUUGCAUUCUGCAUUAUUUGAACUGCCUUUUGGACAACAAAAUCUGAUCAUCUUUCUUUGUUUAACAUGUAUGUUUCCAUCGGCAUUCUUGAAGAGGUGGGAUCCUAAUGAAGGAUGGAUUGUUGGAGAGUGAUUUUCAGGUAGUGAAACAUCAGAGUGUGAACUACCAAGGAAGAGGAGCAAGCAAUAGGAGCUACGGCAAGUACAGACCAGGAGCAAGAGAAACAAUGCAUAAGGUUAUUCUUUCAAAUCAACAAGUACAUGUAUACUAUAUGUAAGUAUCGUUCUGUCAGCAUCCUUCAGUGCAACCCUCUGAAUUUGGCCCUCCUGGUUCCCACGGGCAAAUGAACAAGCCAUAGCAGGCAGUGAUUCUAUCGCAGCUUCCCACUCCCAGGUUUCAGCCAUCUGCUCUCCCUCACACUCAGAAAUUUAGUGCACGACACAGCAAUAAAAUGAGAUUCUGAUAUGGAGGCUGUGUACAGACUCACUCUGUGAAGUGUCCUUCCUGGCAGGAAAACUACAAUGAAAACAGUGAUGAUUGAGGCUAUUAGUAAGGACUUUUUGAAAAAAGGCAUGAGGUGCAUUCAAGAUUGUCUAUUAACAACAACAACAUUGUAAAUCCAUUGAUUUUGGAACAGUAGAAAGAAUCAUACUGCCACUGCCAAGCAAGAAUACAAAGACAUCUCUUAAUGAAGGGCAGAAGAUGGCAAUGUUCCUUCCACCAAUAACCCUGUACAACAGAGGAGGGCAGGAGCUGAACAAAACUCAGUAUGUCAUUCUCUAGAUCCGUCAACUGAAAGUAGAAUGGAUUGAGUACUGUGUAAAGCCUCAGGCAGAUGCCACAUUCCAAAUCAUGGUGUUAGCUUUCAACUGUUUAACCCUAAUAGGCAGUGGAAAAGCUGAUAAUGAUGAUGAAAAAGCUUAUUCAUGCUGAUAAGCUAACUUGACAAAUAGUGGAUGAAUUUGUUACAGAUAUCCAAAGCGUUACCUUUCCCAUUGUGAAGCACUCCUGCUGAUGUUCCUCUCAUCUUUGCUGCCUGACUCAUGCCACUAGGCAUUGUAUUUCUCCCAUCCAGAUACGCUGUGGAAUGGAAAUUCUUCAGCUGCAAUUCAUAUAGGAUCUGAAAAACGACCCAGAAAAUUGGGCGAGUCCUCUUAACUUUUCUGUCUGCUGUCUCUUUUCCUUUAAGCACUCCUCGUAAUGCUGUUCCCAGGAGGAAUCUGCAAGAAAUUCAACUGCAAAUUUUGAUAUUGAAGAGCUACUUGGAAGUCAUCCGUAUCAUGGCCUGAAAAUGGCAUCCGAUAAGUGGAAAGAAAAAGACUAUAAAGUAAAUACCCUUGUGGUAGUAUUAAGAGCAAAGAGAGGUAAAAAAGGGAAGACACUUCACAUGUGACUGAGAAUGUGCGUCGAAAGGCAUAACUCAUGUCAGUCAGAAAAAAGAUGGCAGCAUCUGUGUAUGGCCUACACACAACUAAAUCAAAUUGUUGGAAGAGAAUCUGAUCUAUUAUCAUGACAAUUCCUAAAGACAUUGACGGCUGUCUUAGAUCACAGACAUGAAGAGCAAGGUGUCCAGUCACAUCCCUUCAUCCCAAGCAGACGCAGUGGUGAUGCAAAAGGACAGCUUGUAAUAAACAGUCCCUGGAUGAGUGUUGUCUGUCUCCUCAAAGGAAAAGGCAGGAAGCCAGACAGAAGUAUCUUGCAGACCCAAAUCUGGUCUUCGCGCAGUCAGCUGGACCACUUUGUGUGCAGUGUGCUAUCCAGCAGAUGGCUCAUCUACACUUUCAGAAGUCAUGUAAUGACUAUCGUUGUGUGAUUAAGCUGUGGCUGCAGUUACUUUUACUAUGAAUGCUUUUAUUUUUGAAUUUAUUCUGGAUUCUCAUAUCCAUUCCAUUUAUGCUUCACAAUGAAUGCUGCUCCAGUUCUAAUUUUAAA